GACGGAGGAUGCAAGCGUUAUCCGGAAUUACUGGGCGUAAAGCGCACGUAGGCGGAUUGUUAAGUCGGGGGUGAAAUCCUGGAGCUCAACUCCAGAACUGCCUUCGAUACUGGCGAUCUCGAGUUCGGGAGAGGUGAGUGGAAUUCCGGGUGUAGCGGUGGAAUGCGUAGAGAUCCGGAAGAACACCGGUGGCGAAGGCGGCCUGCUGGGCUAUGGCUGACACUGAGGCGCGACAGCGUGGGGAGCAAACAGG
rnacentral:rRNA from 1 species